UUUUGCCAAUGGGGCAAGCCUGAUCCAGCCAUUCCGCGUGAGUGAAGAAGGCCUUCGGGGUUGUAAAGCUCUUUCGCCCCCCCCCCAAAACUUACUUUUUUAAUAAAGAGUGAGGUGGACGGUACCCUUGAUAAGAAGCACCGGCUAACUACGUGCCAGCAGCCCCCGGUAAUACGUAGGGUGCGAGCGUUAAUCGGAAUUACUGGGGGUAAAGCGUGCGCAGGCGGCUUUGUAAGUCAGAUGUGAAAUCCCCGAGCUCAACUUGGGAACUGCGUUUGAAACUACAAGGCUAGAAUAUGUCAGAGGGGGGUAGAAUUCCACGUGUAGCAGUGAAAUGCGUAGAGAUGGGAGGAAUACCAAGGGAAGCAGCCCCCUGGAGAAUAUUACGUCAGCAGGGUGCUGGGCGCGUUG
rnacentral:rRNA from 1 species